CGUCCACAGCUCUCGGCCACUUUCACCAUUCCCAUCUGGCAGUGGUUCUUGACCCGGUUUGGCAAGAAGACAGCUGUAUAUGUUGGGAUCUCAGUGAGUGGGGUUGAAGAGCAGAGCCUGGGUUGAGUUGGGGAUGUCUGGAGGGAACCUCUCAGCUGACUCAUCUUCCUGCACCCCCUUCCCUAGUCAGCAGUGCCAUUUCUCAUCUUGGUGGCCCUCAUGGAGAGUAACCUCAUCAUUACAUAUGUGGUAGCUGUGGCAGCUGGCAUCAGUGUGGCAGCUGCCUUCUUACUACCCUGGUAGGUAUAUACAGGCCCCUCCUCGGGUAUCUCCAGUCCCUAGUCCCCAGUUUUGAAGCUCCUCGGGGAGAGUUCUAUGCGGUGUUCUCCCACAGGCCAUUCUGUGGGUCCAGGUUAGGAGUGGGGGAGGUCUGUCCUGUACAGUUGUACAGGUAGUGAGCUUUGCAAGAACACCUAGUCAGAGUGAAAAAUGGGGGCUAUAAUCUGGCCUGGGCUCCACUUGCCACGCUGAGCACCUCCAGGCAGGGUUACUUCCUCUUAGAGCAAGAGGCCUUUUCUUAUUCAUGUGAAGGUCCCAUAUCCUCACUGAGCUGUGUACCCAUGGUACUGCAAGCUUCCAGAGGGCCACCUCUUCUCAUUAACACAGAGGCCCGUUAGGUGGGUCGGUCCUCAUGGCUGUCACUACUCUGCGCAGGUCCAUGUUGCCUGAUGUCAUUGACGACUUCCAUCUGAAGCAGCCCCACUUCCAUGGAACCGAGCCCAUCUUCUUCUCCUUCUAUGUCUUCUUCACCAAGUUUGCCUCUGGAGUGUCACUGGGCAUUUCCACCCUCAGUCUGGACUUUGCAGGGUACCAGACCCGCGGCUGCUCGCAGCCGGAACGUGUC
rnacentral:sRNA from 1 species